ACAUUUAGCUAAGAUCACAGUUUUAUAUCACAGGAUAAAACCCGAGUUCUCAGGGCCAGCUGGCAAGGAUGCAGAGCGACAACGUUUUAAAAACAAACCGCGUGCGGUCACGGUGCAUCGCAGCUCUCGCUGUGGGAUCUGAAGCUUUGGAGACGGUCACUCGAGGUCCUUCAGCCUUGCCCCAGCCGCGGGAGUGAGGUACACAACCACUUCUCAAGACACUGCGAACCCCUCUCCUCUCCCAAACCUGCUCACUAGAAGAUCAAGGAGAUAAUUAGCAUGCGGGCUCUGAUUACAGACCGUGAAUCCUCAGUACUCGGGUGCCACUCACGGACAGAUGCAAACCGAGCUCCUUCGUCAAGCUGCCAUCUUUCCACUGUCAGUGAGCAGCCCUGGGAGGGGCAGGGGAAAAACCAUUCGUUUGUCAGACUCCGUGAACUCUGGCCCGCAGCCCACGCGGCACUGGGAAUUCUGGUUGCCAGAUGGGAAACCACGUGACAGUUCUCCUUGAAACGUGUCACCCUGGGGACAGAGGAAAAUCUAAUGGUAAACAUCUUUAUUUUCUGAGACAGGCCCAAGAACCUGGCUCCACAGUUACGAGUCUGUCGCCAUCCAUAUCGCUCUUCAAGAAGCUUCCUUGCCAACCCCAAGGUCCAAAUCAGGAGCAGAUGGAGAGAGAGCACGAGCAAGGAACUCAGGACCGCGAGGGGUGCACCCACACACUGAGACAAUGGGGA